CAGAUCUAUAUAUUGGUCCAUCUAAUUUGCAAUUAUUAAGAGUCCAUCCAAAUCUAGACUAAAUUCUAGCCUAUUCCUACAGGAUUUAGGUUGGUUGAAGUCUAGUUGAUACAACGUCAUACUUAAAUUGACAAUUUACUUUGUAAAUUUUAUAGAAUUUUCAGUUCAACUCUAUAAAAAUAACCAAAUGGACCCGAAAUAGUAUAAAUAUCCAAUAAAGGCAAUCAACAUCUAACAUUAAACUAGAACAUAAAAGGCGCCUAAUGUGUGAGGA
rnacentral:lncRNA from 1 species